rnacentral:rRNA from 1 species
CCCUUAGAUGUUCUGGGCCGCACGCGUGCUACACUGAGUGGAUCAGCGGGUCAGGUUGCGCGAAAGUGUUUCCUAAUCUUUAAAUCCGCUCGUGAUGGGGAUUGACGGUUGCAAUUUUCCGUCAUGAACGAGGAAUACCUUGUAAGCGCGAGUCAUCAGCUCGCGUUGAUUACGUCCCUGCCCUUUGUACACACCGCCCGUCGCUACUACCGAUUGAAUGGUUUAGUGAGGACUCCUGAUUGGCGCCGCCGCCCCGGCAACGGAGCAGCGGACUGCCGAAAAGUUGUUCAAACUUGAUCAUUUAGAGGAAGUAAAAGUCGUAACA